CCAACCUGAUCCGGGAGUUCCACCUCCGAAAUCCUAAUGGACCCGGUAGGCCGCCUGGAGGCGGUCGUUAAGGGGGGGUACUGUUAUAAUCCGCUCUUACCUUGUUACUUUCGUUUUCUAUGGUUAUAUUUUCAUUUGUAUUUUCCGCUUGUGUACUUUGUUAGUUCUGUUAUCCUCCGUUUUAUUUUUCGUUAAAGUUUAUUUCGGACUUUCGCCUUUUGUUCUUGUUAGAUAUGUGUGUGUGUUUUUGCCUGCCCGGCUUCCUUCUCCCCCCAGCGGCUUGGAGGGGUACUGUCCCCAGAAAUUGCAGUGGAAGCCAGCCAAUGGAUCGCUGGAGGGCGGACCUCACUCACCUGUACCUCAUUUUCCAUCUAAUCAGCUACCGCUUAUAAACGCCGGCUUUUCCACCACGCAUCGCCAGAUUGUCUGCUUGUCACCGCGCCCAGCGAUCCAUUCAUCAUCUGGCUUCCCUGUUGGUUCCUGGACUUGGCUCCUAGCUCCUGCGACCCUGGUUCAUCUUCCACUACCACCCCUGCACUCCUGUUGGUUCCUGGACUUGGCUCCUAGCUCCUGUGACCCUGGUUCUUCUCCCACUGCCACUGUUUGUUCUGCCUAAGCUCUGGACAGUGUUGGACACCAACCCCUCUUGUUCCUGGACUCAGAUCAUAGCUCCUCUUACCCACAGUAUUGCUCCAGCCGCUUCAGUGUCCUCUGUUUGGACCUAUCACCAUUUCCCCUGUUUGUCUGAAUCUAAUAAAUAUUCAUUGUCAA